rnacentral:rRNA from 1 species
GAUGAACGCUAGCGACAGGCUUAACACAUGCAAGUCGAGGGGCAGCACGGGAGUAGCAAUACAACUGGUGGCGACCGGCGCACGGGUGAGUAACGCGUAUGCAACCUACCUAUCAGAGGGGAAUAACCCGGCGAAAGUCGGACUAAUACCGCAUAAAACAGGGGCACCGCAUGGUGAUAUUUGUUAAAGAAAUUCGCUGAUAGAUGGGCAUGCGUUCCAUUAGGUAGUUGGUGAGGUAACGGCUCAACAAGCCGACGACGGAUAGGGGAACUGAGAGGUUCGCCCCCCACACUGGUACUGGGACACGGACCAGAAUCCGACUGGAGGCAGCAGUGAGGAAUAUUGGUCAAUGGGCGGGAGCCUGAACCCGCCAAGUCGCGUGAAGGAAGAAGGAUCUAUGGUUCGUAAACUUCUUGUGCAGGGGAAUAAAGUGCAGGACGUGUCCUGUUUUGUAUGUACCCUGAGAAUAAGGAUCUGCUAACUCCGUGCCAGCCGCCGCAGUAAGAC